GACGAACGCUGGCGGCGUGCUUAACACAUGCAAGUCGAACGGAAAGGCCCUGCUUUUGUGGGGUGCUCGAGUGGCGAACGGGUGAGUAACACGUGAGUAACCUGCCCUUGACUUUGGGAUAACUUCAGUAAACUGGGGCUAAUACCGGAUAGGAGCUCCUGCUGCAUGGUGGGGGUUGGAAAGUUUCGGCGGUUGGGGAUGGGCUCGCGGCUUAUCAGCUUGUUGGUGGGGUAGUGGCUUACCAAGGCUUUGACGGGUAGCCGGCCUGAGAGGGUUACCGGCCACAUUGGGACUGAGAUACGGCCCAGACUCCUACGGGAGGCAGCAGUGGGGAAUAUUGCACAAUGGGCGGAAGCCUGAUGCAGCAACGCCGCGUGCGGGAUGACGGCCUUCGGGUUGUAAACCGCUUUCGCCUGUGACGAAGCGUGAGUGACGGUAAUGGGUAAAGAAGCACCGGCUAACUACGUG
rnacentral:rRNA from 1 species